GUCGCGCGAUAAAGUUUAGCCUGAGAGUCGGCUCCGCGGUUAGAAAGUUGGGGUCCCGUCCCCGUGCGUCCCUUUCCCGGGAGCGGUGUAAGAAGCUCCGGGCGGUCUAUGGAGGCCGCCGCCGCUCGUUGUGUCGGUGCAGGCCUUGCGGUGAUGGACUCUGGAUCGGUUAAUACGUGGCGGCCGCGCUGAGCUCCCGGCUGUGUGUUCCCGCAGCUCUUUGUGAACUUUUCCCGGGCCGCACCCCCCCCCGCCCCGGAGAGCGGAGUCCGGCCGCUUCGGUGUUUUUUGGACCCGGCCCUACUCACACUAUGUGCCCGCUCCCUAAGUGCACUCUGGCUCUGGCCGUUCUCCUGCUAUGCGGCUCCGCUCGGUCUGAGCUCCCAAACCGAAACUGCUCGGAACUGCUGCAAGUUUCCAGCCCGAGGGGUAUCAGCCAUGGUAAUAUCCGCCAGCAAGGCAAGGAGAAAGGGCAGUGAAACUAUCAUCUGACCUAUCAACCUCGGAUGCAUUUGUACCCUCAGUCACUGCCACAGAUAUUCUAAAGGGUGAGCCCAUGGAACAUGACUGGCCUGGAUGGAGUCCCCAGCUGUGCACACCAACUGGCGGGUGUAUUCGCAGACAUCUUCAACCUCUGCUAACUACGAUCUGAAGUCCCCAUCUGCUUCAAGAAGACCACCAUCACCCCAGUGCCAAAGAUAAACCAUGCAGCAUGCCUCAAUAGCUACUGCUCAGUAAUUAUGAAGUGCUUUGAGAGGUUGAUCAUGGCUCACAUCAACACCAGCCUACCAAAUUGUCUUGAUCGCCUACCAGUGCAACAGGUGCUAUCUUCCCAACCUUACACUCAUCCCUGGAACAUCUUGACAACAAGGACACCUACAUCAGGCUCUUACUUAGUGACUACAGCUCACCCUUCAACACUAUAAUUCCAAACAUACUCCUCUCCAAACUCUGUGACCUAGGUCUGUGCUCCAAGUUAUGUUGCUAGAUUCUUGUCUUCCAGACGAAAAGACCCAGUCAGUAAGGACCGGUGACAACAACACCUCCACGAUAAUCCUCAACAUGGUUGCCCCACAAGGCUGCGAACUCAGCCCCCAAACGUACUCUCAUAAACACACACGACAUGUGGCCAAAUUCCAUGCCAACUCCAUCUGCAUGUUUGCUGAUGACCCCACCGUUGUUGGUCAGAUCUCAAACAACGACAAGCCAGAAAACAGGAAAGAGAUUGAAUACUUAGCGGUCUGGUUUAAAGACAACAAUCUGUCCAUCAAUGUCAGCAAAAUGAAGGAGCUGGUCAUUGACUUCAGGAAGUGGAGUGGAGGGCACACCCCUGUCUGUAUCAGUGGUGCUGAGGUGGAGAUGGUCGAGAGCAUUGAGUUCUUGGGAGUGAUGAUCACCAACAAUCUGUCCUGAUACACCCACAUUGACACACCAAUAAAGAAAGCACAGCAACGCUACUCCUUCCUCAGGAAAUUUGGCAUGUCCACGGGGACUCUUACGAAUUAUAGAUCAUCGAAUCCCUACAGUGUAGAAACAGGCUAUUUGGCCCAACAUGUCCACACUGACCUUCUGAAGAACAUCCCCCCCUGACUCAUUCCCCUACUCCUGCUUUUCCCCAUGUCUGGCCAACCUAACCUAAACAUUCCUGAACGCUAUAGGCAAUUUAGCAUGGCCAAUCCACCCUAACCUGCACAUCUUUGGACUGUUGGAGGAAACUGGAGCAUCUGGAGGAAACCCACACAGACAUGGGGAGAACGUGCAAACUCCACAUAGACAGCUGCCCAAGGGUGGAAUCAAACCCAGGUCCCUGGCGCUGUGAGGCAGCAUUGCUAACCACUGAGCCACAAACUGCUCUUCCCAAGACUGCAAGAAAUUAGAGUUGUCAACACAGCCUAGUGACUCAUGCAAGCCAACCUUCCUUCCAUUGACUCCAUCUAUACUUCCCGUUGCCUCAGGAAAGCAACCAAUGUAAUCAAAGACCCCUCCCACCCCAGUUAUACUCUCUUCCACUCUCUGUUGGGCAGAAGAUAUAAAAGUUUGUGUACACAUACGAACAGAAUAGCAGCUUCCCUACUUUUGAAUGGACCUCUUUAAUGAUAAUGCUGAUCUCUCUGCAUCUUCUUGCCAUCUGUAACAUUGUAUCUUGCAUUCUAUUAUAUUGUCCUGAUGCACAUGUAUAGUAAUGAUCUGCCUGUAAAACACGCAAAACAGCACUCUUUACUGCACCUUGGUACAUGUGACAGUAAUAAAUCAAAUCAAAUAAAACCAA